rnacentral:lncRNA from 1 species
CAGAGAUGGAGACGGGAAAUAAUGGGAAAUGGAAGUCUCCACAGUCUCUGCAAACUUAAAAGAUAAAUUAACGGACGGAGGAGAAGGUCCUUUUUAUUCUUCGAGACCUUCAUCCGUAGAAAAUGGAGAAAUUUCAGGUUAAUCGAAUUUUAGAGUCUAGUGAAAACCAUAAUGUAAAUCGAUAAUUAGGAUAUCCUAUUUUUGGUUAAUUAUAUAUAUAUAUAUAUAUAUAUAUAUAUUUUUUUUUUUUUAACGAGGUGUCCCAACUUACGCCAGACUAUAUCCUCGUCCCUGAACUUCCGGCCCCUCAGCAGCUCAAGGAGGUAAAUCGCGGGAUGUGCCCAAGUUGACCAGGGUUCGAACAGCCUUUAUACUCCUGGCCCCAAGGGAUCCUCCUCCAUGGUUAUUACAUCACCAAACUGUUCCAACCCUUCCUCUGGUUAUUAC